AUGAUUCGGCCUCCCUCCAACCAUUGCCAUCAUAAAAUACAAGAAAGCACCCGCUUCAAUCCAUAUUUCAAGGAUUGUGUUGGAGCAAUAGAUGGGACUCAUGUGCUUGCUAGAGUCCCAAAAAGUAUCUCAGCUGCCUUUAGGGGCAGAAAAGAGGGGACUACCCAAAAUGUGAUGGCCGCGGUAGACUUUGAUCUAAAGUUUACCUAUGUACUUGCGGGUUGGGAGGGGUUAGCUCAUGAUGCCCUUAUACUUGCAAAUGCAUUGGAGAGGGAAGAUGGGUUGAAAGUUCCUACAGGUAAUAAGUUAGAGCCUACUACCUAA
rnacentral:rRNA from 1 species